rnacentral:rRNA from 1 species
AUGCAAGCCGCCAAGAUGUGCGAGGAGUCCAUCCCGGGGCUGCAGAUCGACCACGUCGACAUCUCCGACCUGCCGCUCCUCAACACCGACCUCGAGAACGUCGACGGCAACGCCUUCCCGGCCGCCGUCGAGGCGUUCCGGGGCACGGUCCGCGGCGCCGACUGCUUCCUCUUCGCCUCCCCCGAGUACAACUACUCCAUCUCAGGCCCUCUGAAGAACGCGCUGGACUGGGGGUCGCGGCCGCCGAACGUGUGGGCGGACAGGGCCGGCGCCAUAGUGAGCGCGUCGGGGAAGUCCGGCGGCAAGAGGUCGGCGUACCACAUCCGGCAGGUCGGGGUCUUCCUCGACAUCCACUUCAUCAACAAGCCGGAGGGGUUCGUCUCGGCGCGCCAUCCGCAGAGCAAGUUCGACGACGACGGCAACCUCGUCGACCCGGAGACCGGGGAGCUGCUGAGGAACAUCCUUCUUUCCCUGCAAGCGUUCGCGCUCAGGCUCAUCCACGGCAACUCUCCUGCAAACUCUGGACAGGCUAGUUAA